CUGAAGUGCUUUGGAGAUGUUGCUGGCUUCUCUUUGAAGCAAUGUGCACUCUUCGAACUUUCACUUAUCUCCUUCAAACCCCUUGUGCACUCCCUGUAGGGUCCUCUCUCCUUCUAAAGGAUGACUUGACUCUAUGUUGUCUUACUAUUCUCACACAUUAUGUAUGUUGCUGUUUUUGAUGAUUACAAAAAAA
rnacentral:misc_RNA from 1 species